UACAGAGGUGGCAAGCGUUGUUCGGAAUUACUGGGCGUAAAGGGCGCGUAGGCGGCCCACUAAGUCAGACGUGAAAUCCCCCGGCUUAACCUGGGAACUGCGUCUGAUACUGGAGGGCUUGAGUAUGGGAGAGGGAUGUAGAAUUCCAGGUGUAGCGGUGAAAUGCGUAGAUAUCUGGAGGAACACCGGUGGCGAAGGCGGCAUCCUGGACCGAUACUGACGCUGAGGAGCGAAAGCCAGGGGAGCAAACGGG
rnacentral:rRNA from 1 species